rnacentral:ribozyme from 1 species
AGGGAAGAGCGACUACGAGGUUGCUUUGCCACCGGGGUACCACGUGCAAGGCGCAAAGUACUCAAAGUCGAGUCAUAAGCUCACAGUGAAGCUUGUGAAAAAGUGAUUUAAUGAAUGAAUUCUAAUUUGUUU